GGUCAACAGCUUAUUUGUGACAGUCUUUUUGUUGUGCCCAUCUGCAACUCAGCAUCUCCGCUAUAUGAUGUAGUAGGUGCGGCUGUGGCGGCACCAGUCACACAACAGCCGCUCAUGCAGCCAAUGGCAUCGACACUUGUGUGCUAGGGGCCUGCGUACGGUGUGGAAGCCACGGCCACAGCACAGCAUGGCACAGUUGUCGGCAUCCGAGCAGCGGCGCCCACGCGUCCAGCUGCACAAUGGCGGUGUCUCAUCCAGUGUAGAGACUGCCCAAAAAAGAGAGGUUGCAGACACAAGAUGGACAGCACAAAAGGACUGAUGAUUGUGAGCUGCCAAUACCUUAAGAUGUGCAAUGUGAAACAGAGACUGGAGUGACAGCUAAGGAAAAAAAGUUUUUUUGAUUGUGUGUAGGUAUUUAGCAGCCAUUCAUACAAGUAAUACUUGUAAGAGUGGCUGCAAGGGGGGGGGGGGGGGUGAAUGGGUGCAUAAUGAUACAGCCUUCAAUCGUC